GACGAACGCUGGCGGCGUGCUUAACACAUGCAAGUCGAACGAUGAACCGGCAGCUUGCUGCUGGGGAUUAGUGGCGAACGGAUGAGUAACACGUGAGUAACCUGCCCUGGACUCUGGGAUAACCCCGAGAAAUCGGAGCUAAUACCGGAUAGGACCCUGUACCGCAAGGUGUGGGGUGGAAAGUUUUUUCGGUCUGGGAUGGACUCGCGGCCUAUCAGCUUGUUGGUGAGGUAAUGGCUCACCAAGGCGUCGACGGGUAGCCGGCCUGAGAGGGUGACCGGCCACACUGGGACUGAGACACGGCCCAGACUCCUACGGGAGGCAGCAGUGGGGAAUAUUGCACAAUGGGCGCAAGCCUGAUGCAGCAACGCCGCGUGCGGGAUGACGGCCUUCGGGUUGUAAACCGCUUUUAGUAAGGAAGAAGGGGAGCUUGCUCCUUGACGGUACUUGCAGAAAAAGGACCGGCUAACUACGUGCCAGCAGCCGCCGUAAGAC
rnacentral:rRNA from 1 species